GUGGUGGAGCAUGUGGUUUAAUUCGAAGAUACACGAAGUAACCUUACCUGGCCUUGACAUGGUAGGAACCCUUAAGAGAUUAGGGGGUGCUAGCUUGCUAGAACCUACACACAGGUGCUGCACGGCUGUCGUCAGCUCGUGUCGUGAGAUGUUGGGUUAAGUCCCGCAACGAGCGCAACCCUCGUCCUUAGUUGCUAACAGUUCGGCUGAGCACUCUAGGGAGACUGCCUUUCGCAAGGAGGAGGAAGGUGAGGACGACGUCAAGUCAUCAUGGCCCUUACGGCCAGGGCUACACACGUGCUACAAUGGGGCGUACAGAGAGCUGCGAUACCGCGAGGUGGAGCCAAUCUCUUAAAGCGUCUCUCAGUUCGGAUUGUUCUCUGCAACUCGAGAACAUGAAGCUGGAAUCACUAGUAAUCGCGGAUCAGCACGCCGCGGUGAAUACGUUCCCGGGCCUU
rnacentral:rRNA from 1 species